UACGGGGGGGGCAAGCGUUGUUCGGAAUUACUGGGCGUAAAGGGUGCGUAGGCGGUUGUUUAAGUCUGUCGUGAAAUCCCCGGGCUCAACCUGGGAAUGGCGAUGGAUACUGGACAGCUAGAGUGUGUCAGAGGAUGGUGGAAUUCCCGGUGUAGCGGUGAAAUGCGUAGAGAUCGGGAGGAACAUCAGUGGCGAAGGCGGCCAUCUGGGACAACACUGACGCUGAAGCACGAAAGCGUGGGGAGCAAGCAGG
rnacentral:rRNA from 1 species